rnacentral:rRNA from 1 species
UACGAAGGGGGCUAGCGUUGCUCGGAAUCACUGGGCGUAAAGGGUGCGUAGGCGGGUCUUUAAGUCAGGGGUGAAAUCCUGGAGCUCAACUCCAGAACUGCCUUUGAUACUGAAGAUCUUGAGUUCGGGAGAGGUGAGUGGAACUGCGAGUGUAGAGGUGAAAUUCGUAGAUAUUCGCAAGAACACCAGUGGCGGAAGGCGACUCACUGGCCCGAUACUGACGCU